rnacentral:rRNA from 1 species
UACGAAGGGGGCUAGCGUUGCUCGGAAUCACUGGGCGUAAAGCGCACGUAGGCGGAUUGUUAAGUCGGGGGUGAAAUCCUGGAGCUCAACUCCAGAACUGCCUUCGAUACUGACGAUCUCGAGUCCGGGAGAGGUGAGUGGAACUCCGAGUGUAGAGGUGAAAUUCGUAGAUAUUCGCAAGAACACCAGUGGCGAAGGCGGCUCACUGGCCCGGUACUGACGCUGAGACGCGAAAGCGUGGGGAGCGAACAGG